GACGAACGCUGGCGGCGUGCUUAACACAUGCAAGUCGAACGGAAAGGCCCUGCUUUUGUGGGGUGCUCGAGUGGCGAACGGGUGAGUAACACGUGAGUAACCUUCCCUUUACUUUGGGAUAACUUCAGGAAACUGGGGCUACUACCGGAUAGGAGCUCCUGCUGCAUGGUGGGGGUUGGAAAGUUUCGGCGGUUGGGGAUGGACUCGCGGCUUAUCAGCUUGUUGGUGGGGUAGUGGCUUACCAAGGCUUUGACGGGUAGCCGGCCUGAGAGGGUGACCGGCCACAUUGGGACUGAGAUACGGCCCAGACUCCUACGGGAGGCAGCAGUGGGGAAUAUUGCACAAUGGGCGGAAGCCUGAUGCAGCAACGCCGCGUGCGGGAUGAAGGCCUUCGGGUUGUAAACCGCCUUCGCCUGUGACGAAGCGUGAGUGACGGUAAUGGGUAAAGAAGCACCGGCUAACUACGUG
rnacentral:rRNA from 1 species